AGUGAACGCUGGCGGCAGGCCUAAUACAUGCAAGUCGAACGGCAGCACAGCAGAGCUUGCUCUGUGGGUGGCGAGUGGCGGACGGGUGAGGAAUACGUGGGAAUCUGCCCAGUCGUGGGGGAUAACGUAGGGAAACUUACGCUAAUACCGCAUGCGCCCUUCGGGGAAAGCCGGGGACCUUCGGGCCUGGCGCGAUUGGAUGAGCCCACGUCGGAUUAGCUAGUUGGCGGGGUAAAGGCCCACCAAGGCGACGAUCCGUAGCUGGUCUGAGAGGAUGAUCAGCCACACUGGAACUGAGACACGGUCCAGACUCCUACGGGAGGCAGCAGUAGGAAUAUUGGACAAAUGGGCGCAAGCCUGAUCCAGCCAUGCCGCGUGAGUGAAGAAGGCCCUCGGGUUGUAAAAGCUCUUUUGUCCGGAAAGAAAAGCGCCGGGUUAAAUAACCCCUGGUUGUCCUGACGAUACCGGAAGAAUAAAGC
rnacentral:rRNA from 1 species